AGUGAACGCUGGCGGUAGGCCUAACACAUGCAAGUCGAACGGCAGCACAGUAAGAGCUUGCUCUUACGGGUGGCGAGUGGCGGACGGGUGAGGAAUACAUCGGAAUCUACUUUUUCGUGGGGGAUAACGUAGGGAAACUUACGCUAAUACCGCAUACGACCUACGGGUGAAAGCAGGGGAUCUUCGGACCUUGCGCGAUUGAAUGAGCCGAUGUCGGAUUAGCUAGUUGGCGGGGUAAAGGCCCACCCAGGCGACGAUCCGUAGCUGGUCUGGGAGGAUGAUCAGCCACACUGGAACUGAGACACGGUCCAGACUCCUACGGGAGGCAGCAGUGGGGAAUAGUGGACAAUGGGCGCAAGCCUGAUCCAGCCAUACCGCGUGGGUGAAGAAGGCCUUCGGGUUGUAAAGCCCUUUUGUUGGGAAAGAAAAGCAGCAGGUUAAUACCCCGCUGUUCUGACGGUACCCAAAGAAUAAGCACCGGCUAACUUCGUG
rnacentral:rRNA from 1 species